rnacentral:rRNA from 1 species
CGGGGUGCACCAGGCGCGAAAACUUUACAAUGCUGGCAACAGCGAUAAGGGGACCUCGAGUGCCAGGAUACAAUCUUGGCUGUCGCGAUGCCUAAAAAGCAUUGCAUAGCAAGGGCCGGGCAAGACCGGUGCCAGCCGCCGCGGUAACACCGGCGGCUCGAGUGGUAACCGCUAUUAUUGGGUCUAAAGGGUCUGUAGCCGGCCGGAUAAGUCUUUUGGGAAAUCCAGCUGCUCAACAGUUGGGCUUUCAGAAGAUACUGUUCGGCUCGAGACCGGGAGAGGUGAGAGGUACUUCAGGGGUAGGGGUGAAAUCUUGUAAUCCUUGAAGGACCACCAGUGGCGAAGGCGUCUCACCAGAACGGAUCUGACGGCAAGGGACGAAAGCUAGGGGCACGAACCGGAUUAGAUACCCGGGUAGUCCUAGCCGUAAACGAUACUCGCUAGGUGUCAGCCACGGUGCGACCGUGGUUGGUGCCGUAGGGAAGCCGUGAAGCGAGCCACCUGGGAAGUACGGCCGCAAGGCUGAAACUUAAAGGAAUUGGCGGGGGAGCA